AAUCAUGCUGCCAAGAAAAUCCUCUAUGUUAGAUGCUGCGCUGACCGUACCGUAAACGGACACACGUGGGCGAGGAGAGAAUCCUCAGGCGCUUGUGAGAAUCCAGGUUAAGGAACUCGGCAAAUUAGCCCCGUAACUUCGGGAGAAGGGGUGCCCUUAUUAGGUGAAAGACUUCGCGUCUGGAGCCGAAAAGGGUCGCAGUGACCAGGCUCAAUCGACUGUUUACUAAAAACACAGGUCUCUGCUAAGUCGCAAGACGACAUAUAGGGACUGACACCUGCCCGGUGCUGGAAGGUUAAAUGGAGGGGUUAGCUUCGGCGAAGCUCUGAAAUGAAGCCCCAGUAAACGGCGGCCGUAACUAUAACGGUCCUAAGGUAGCGAAAUUCCUUGUCGGGUAAGUUCCGACCUGCACGAAUGGUGUAACGAAUUGAGCACUGUCUCGACCUGGAGCACAGCGAAAUUGAAGUGUCGGUGAAGAUACCGGCUACCCGCGGCAGGACGAAAAGACCCCGUGAACCUUUACUACAACUUAGCAUUGGAUUCUGGUUCUGCAUGUGCAGGAUAGGUGGGAGGCUGUGAAACUCGGACGCUAGUCCGGGUGGAGCCAAACUUGAAAUACCACCCUUGUAUUGCUAGGACUCUAAUCCCGACCCGUGAAUCCGGGCGAGAGACAGUGUUAGGUGGGUAGUUUGACUGGGGCGGUCUCCUCCCAAAAGGUAACGGAGGAGCUCAAAGGUUCCCUCAGCACGGUCGGUAAUCGUGCGUAGAGUGCAAAGGCAUAAGGGAGCUUAACUGCGAGGUCGACGGACCGAGCAGGUGCGAAAGCAGGACUUAGUGAUCUGGUGGUUCCGUAUGGAAGGGCCAUCACUCAACGGAUAAAAGGUACUCCGGGGAUAACAGGCUUAUCUCCCCCAAGAGUUCACAUCGACGGGGAGGUUUGGCACCUCGAUGUCGGCUCAUCACAUCCUGGAGCUGGAGAAGGUUCCAAGGGUUGGGCUGUUCGCCCAUUAAAGUGGUACGUGAGCUGGGUUUAGAACGUCGUGAGACAGUUCGGUCUCUAUCCGCCGUGGGCGCAAGAUAUUUGAGGGAAUCUGCUUCUAGUACGAGAGGACCGAAGUGGACGAACCUCUGGUGUACCAGUUGUUCCAUCAGGAGCACGGCUGGGUAGCUAUGUUCGGUCCGGAUAAGCGCUGAAAGCAUAUAAGCGCGAAACCGAUCCCAAGAUAAGAUAUCUCUAACAUAAGUUAAUAAGGCUCGUUGUAGACUACGACGUUGAUAGGCUGCAGGUGUAAGUGUAGUAAUACAUUCAGCUGAGCAGUACUAAUAAGCCGAACGGCUUUACC
rnacentral:rRNA from 1 species